rnacentral:rRNA from 1 species
CACGUAGGCGGAUUCUUAAGUCGGUGGUGAAAGCCUGGAGCUCAACUCCAGAACUGCCUUCGAUACUGAGAGUCUUGAGUUCGGGAGAGGUGAGUGGAACUGCGAGUGUAGAGGUGAAAUUCGUAGAUAUUCGCAAGAACACCAGUGGCGAAGGCGGCUCACUGGCCCGAUACUGACGCUGAGGUGCGAAAGCGUGGGGAGCAAACA